rnacentral:misc_RNA from 1 species
CUGGCGACAAAGCCAGACCCAUGGCACAACGUACAAAUUGAUGUUUUAUCUUUUGCCCUCAUCAUAAAAAGAAAUGCAGUGCAGCCAUGAUAUGCAAAGGCCUAUUGCGUUAAAAUGGAUGAAUGAACUACAUGAAGAACUGAAGGGACUUUUUGCUUGAUAUGGCUGAGAGUGUUAAAGUAAUCGUAAGAUGUCGACCUAUGAACAGCAGGGAAAUUUCCCUGAAAUGCAAGAGCGUUGUGGUCAUGGAUUCGGAGCGGUGUUCAUGUUCUAUAAUGAACCCUACGGAUAGUUCUGCACCCUCUAAAACAUUCACAUUUGACGGUGUCUAUUCUGUCGGUUCUACGACUGAACAGAUAUAUAAUGAAAGUGCUUAUCCACUUAUUGAGGGAGUGUUGGAGGGGUAUAACAGCACAGUGUUUGCUUACGGGCAAACAGGGUGUGGAAAGAGCUUUUCAAUGCAGGGCAUCAAUGAGCCCCAAAGCCAAAGAGGGAUCAUACCGCGUGCUUUUGAACAUAUAUUUGAAGCGAUAUCCGUGACACAAGAUGUUAAAUACUUAGUACUCGCUUCAUAUCUAGAAAUAUACAAUGAAGAGAUUCGAGACCUUCUCGGCCCUGAUGUCAAGCAAAAACUUGACCUCAAAGAAAGCCAUGAUAAAGGAGUCUAUGUCCAAGAUUUAACUUGGCACGCUGUCGGAUGUGUGGCUGACUGUGAGAACCUCAUGUGCAAAGGCUGGGCUAACAGAUCUGUCGGAGCGACUCUUAUGAACGCAGACUCGUCAAGGAGUCAUUCUAUAUUUAGUAUAUCUGUUGAAAUGAUGGCCACUGAUGGACUUAACGAGGGGUCUAUUAAGCGCGGCAAGUUAAGUCUUGUUGAUUUAGCAGGAAGUGAACGACAAGCCAAAACAGGUGCUCAGGGUGACAGAUUGAAAGAAGCUAGCAAAAUCAAUCUUUCUCUUUCUGCCCUUGGAAAUGUGAUAUCAGCACUUGUGGAUGGCAAAGCAAAACAUAUACCGUAUAGAGAUUCCAAGUUAACAAGAUUGCUUCAAGAUUCUUUAGGAGGGAAUACUAAGACUUUAAUGUUAGCUUGUCUGUCUCCUGCUGACAAUAAUUACGAUGAGACUCUUUCAACAUUGAGAUAUGCAAACCGAGCUAAGAAUAUCAAAAAUCAGCCACACAUUAACGAAGAUCCAAAAGAUGCAAUGCUUCGACAGUACCAGGAGGAGAUUGAAAGGCUGAAAGAGAUGCUUACCAAGCCAAAGAUGACAGCUGUCGUAGAUGAAGUGAUUUUGGAACAAGAACGGGAAAAGAUCAGAAUAGAAUACGAGAAGGAACUUGCUGCUAUGAAGGCACAAUUUACAGAUUUGAAUAUUUCCAGGAACCAAGUUCAGGAUGAACUAGAAAACCUGAAAAUGCAGUAUGACAGUCAAAUACAAGAUAUAAAUAAAAAGUCGGUGUUUAAGCAGACAAAACUGACAGUAAUGGCUGGUGAUACAUGCACAGAAGUAAAUGAAACUUUAAACAAAGAUAAUGAAGAAAAUAGCCAAAAUAAUAAUCAGAGCAUAUCAAAGGCAUCUCAACAGCAAAUAUUGGCAAGAUUGGUGAAACUUCAAAAAAGCCUUGUCGGUGGAGAAAAAGUGGGUGACCAAGGGCUCAAAGAGAGAAGGGCACGGAGGAAAAAGGCCGCUGAGAAACGACUGGCAGCUCUUGCCGAGGUCUUGGCCAAAGAAGAGCACAGUAGCUUGGUUCUUGGAGUGUACGACGAUAUGCACGACCAGCUCACGGCAAGAAGUGAAAACCUCAAAAAACACCGGCAUAAGAUUCGAUCUUUGGAGAGGGAGAUUGCAGAUCUACAGAGUGAAUUUGAAACAGAGAGAACCGAUUACUUAGAGACAAUAAGAAGGCUCGACAGACAGCUAAUGCUGCACAAUCAAAUUUUGGAUAAAGUUAUUCCUAACCUAAAAGGACCUUCAAACUACAGUUCAAUUGAAUCAAUAAAAAAUGAAUCUAAAUGGGACGAUGACCUACAGUGCUGGAUUGUUCCGGAUUUCACAGUUUUAAGAACAAAAUUACCACCUGCAGAAGUUGGAUUUGAACGAAGAAGAGGAUUUUGCUGGAAACUACUUCAAGCCUAAAAGGGCGACUGAAUUGUUGAUUAAAGCGCAGCAGGAUGUCGCAAGAGCAAAUGGUUACAUUUAUGGUCAAAAAGGUCUGAACCUCCAGGGAUCUCUAAAUUCUAUCCACAACACCCUGUCUUCUUUCAAGAACAAUCCACAGAGC